rnacentral:rRNA from 1 species
UACGUAGGGUGCGAGCGUUAAUCGGACUUACUGGGCGUAAAGCGUGCGCAGGCUGUUCGUUGUGUCGGUGGUGAAAGCCCCGGGCUUAACCUGGGAAUGGCCAUGGAAACUGGCGAACUGGAGUGUGGCAGAGGGGGGUGGAAUUCCGCGUGUAGCAGUGAAAUGCGUAGAGAUGCGGAGGAACACCGAUGGCGAAGGCAGCCCCCUGGGCUAGCACUGACGCUCAGGCACGAAAGCGUGGGGAGCAAACAGG